rnacentral:rRNA from 1 species
UACGUAGGGCGCAAGCGUUGUCCGGAAUUAUUGGGCGUAAAGAGCUCGUAGGUGGCGUGUCGCGUCUGCCGUGAAAGCCCAUGGCUUAACUGUGGGUCUGCGGUGGAUACGGGCAGGCUGGAGGCUGGUAGGGGCAAGCGGAAUUCCUGGUGUAGCGGUGAAAUGCGUAGAUAUCUGGAGGAACACCGGUGGCGAAGGCGGCGUUCUGGACUGCAACUGACACUGAGGAACGAAAGCCAGGGGAGCAAACGGG